UACGUAGGGUGCGAGCGUUGUCCGGAAUUAUUGGGCGUAAAGAGCUCGUAGGCGGUUUGUUGCGUCGGCCGUGAAAACCUGCAGCUUAACUGUGGGCCUGCGGCCGAUACGGGCAGACUUGAGUUCGGUAGGGGAGACUGGAAUUCCUGGUGUAGCGGUGAAAUGCGCAGAUAUCAGGAGGAACACCGGUGGCGAAGGCGGGUCUCUGGGCCGAUACUGACGCUGAGGAGCGGAAGCGUGGGGAGCGAACAGG
rnacentral:rRNA from 1 species